GAGUCAAUGAUGAGAACUUAUCUAGCUGAAGUCAGAUGACAUAAAAAUCAUGCUCAGUAGGAUAAUACUGAGGCAG
ensembl:snoRNA SNORD115 Small nucleolar RNA SNORD115